GGGCGUAGCUCAGUUGGUAGAGCACAGGAUUGUGGCUCCUGGUGUCGUGGGUUCGAUUCCCGGUGGUGUUUCA
rnacentral:tRNA from 1 species